UGGGGAAUAUUGCACAAUGGGCGCAAGCCUGAUGCAGCCAUGCCGCGUGUGUGAAGAAGGCCUUCGGGUUGUAAAGCACUUUCAGCGGGGAGGAAGGCGAUAAGGUUAAUAACCUUGUCGAUUGACGUUACCCGCAGAAGAAGCACCGGCUAACUCCGUGCCAGCAGCCGCGGUAAUACGGAGGGUGCAAGCGUUAAUCGGAAUUACUGGGCGUAAAGCGCACGCAGGCGGUCUGUCAAGUCGGAUGUGAAAUCCCCGGGCUCAACCUGGGAACUGCAUUCGAAACUGGCAGGCUAGAGUAUUGUAGAGGGGGGUAGAAUUACAGGUGUAGCGGUGAAAUGCGUCGAGAUCUGGAGGAAUACCGGUGGCGAAGGCGGCCCCCUGGACAAAGACUGACGCUCAGGUGCGAAAGCGUGGGGAGCAAACAGG
rnacentral:rRNA from 1 species